rnacentral:misc_RNA from 1 species
GAAAUGCGAUAAGUAAUGUGAAUUGCAGAAUUCAGUGAAUCAUCGAAUCUUUGAACGCACAUUGCGCCCGCCAGUAUUCUGGCGGGCAUGCCUGUCCGAGCGUCAUUUCAACCAUCAAGCCCCCGGGCUUGUGUUGGGGACCUGCGGCUGCCCGCAGGCCCUGAAAACCAGUGGCGGGCUCGCUGUCACACCGAGCGUAGUAGCAAUCACCUCGCUCAGGGCGUGCUGCGGGUUCCGGCCGUUAAACAGCCUUACAAAACCCAAGGUUGACCUCGGAUCAGGUAGGAAGACCCGCUGAACUUGAGC